rnacentral:rRNA from 1 species
AACGAACGCUGGCGGCAGGCUUAACACAUGCAAGUCGAACGAGAUCUUCAGAUCUAGUGGCAGACGGGUGAGGAACACGUGGGAACAUCCCUUUCAGUUCGGAAUAACGUUGGGAAACUAACGCUAAUACCGGAUACGUCCUUCGGGAGAAAGAUUUAUCGCUGAAAGAUUGGCCCGCGUCUGAUUAGCUAGUUGGUGAGGUAAUGGCUCACCAAGGCUACGAUCAGUAGCUGAUCUGAGAGGAUGAUCAGCCACAUUGGGACUGAGACACGGCCCAAACUCCUACGGGAGGCAGCAGUGGGGAAUAUUGGACAAUGGGCGCAAGCCUGAUCCAGCCAUGCCGCGUGAGUGAUGAAGGCCUUCGGGUUGUAAAGCUCUUUUAUCCGGGAAGAUAAUGACUGUACCGGAAGAAUAAGCCCCGGCAAACUUCGUGCCAGCAGCCGCGGUAACAC